UGUUUAUGGAAAGGAAAAAAAAAGUGUUUGUGUACCUUCUACAAUUAUUGAGCCCCUAGCCCCCUACUGUGCAUGUAAUGCUGCAUUUGAGUUUUAUUUUUUCUUGUACAAAAUUCACAGUACUUUUUUGUAGUUUCUGAUGAUGCCUUAAAUUAAUUAUAACAAAAGCAACAACGUAGUCUGAUUUAAUUUUUAGAAUCUAAUCACAUUUGGAAUAUGGACAAAGAACAGAAGUGAAUCAUAUGAUAAUAUAAGUCCUCUAAUAUUCUCCUUGCCUGUGCAUUAAGGGGUAAAUCCUGCUGUAAUUUGUUACCCACCUUUCACAAAUAUUCUACUCUUUGUUGGUGCCAAAUGGUUAUACUGUUUAAGUACAGUAAAUAUGAUGAUUUAACAAUAGAUGACUUGUGCUACAGUGCUCACGUACAUGUACUAUAAGGAGUACUAAACUAUUUUCAUACUGUCUGACACCUUCUACUAUGUUCUUUUGUCUUGCCUAUUUUAUGAAAGAAUCAUGUCAUCUGUUGGGGCCAUCGUUAAACACUGUCUGUAUGUCGUCCCCAGCUCUGCUACUAGUUGGAUUGAUUGUAAUAAUCCAGAUUUUGAUGAGGGGUAAGUGGGUAAUUAGUUAUUAUUAUUAUUGUUAAUUAAUAUAAUUAAAGUGGGUAAGUCAAAAGACAUAAACCCUCUCCUCUUAUAUUUGUGGCUGCACAUUCUAAUGAGGGAAUAAAAGGUAGGAUAAACAGUUUCUUAAGUAUUCAAAAGCAACAACUUCUUCAAACGAAUAGAAAAGAAAAGAAAAGAAUUAGGGCAAUUAAUCUCUUACUCUUGGAAGAGAGCGAGCCAACGGCGUAGAAUAACAUUAGCCAGUAACACUCACCUGCGAAACUUCAUAUUAUAAGAUUGAAAUCAUUGGAGGUUGUUUGGUUUGUGUACUACGCAUUGCAAUGUUGGGGAACUUGUCAUUCACGAGUGGAAGUUAAGAGGAAGAGAACCAACAAUGAUGGAAGUAAAAGAGCUGAAAUCUGA